AACGAACGCUGGCGGCAUGCCUAACACAUGCAAGUCGAACGAGACCUUCGGGUCGAUUGGCGCACGGGUGCGUAACGCGUGGGAACCUGCCCUUAGGUUCGGAAUAACUCCCCGAAAGGGGUGCUAAUACCGGAUAAUGUCUUCGGACCAAAGAUUUAUCGCCUUUGGAUGGGCCCGCGUUGGAUUAGCUAGUUGGUAGGGUAAAAGCCUACCAAGGCGACGAUCCAUAGCUGGUCUGAGAGGAUGAUCAGCCACACUGGGACUGAGACACGGCCCAGACUCCUACGGGAGGCAGCAGUGGGGAAUAGUGGACAAUGGGCGAAAGCCUGAUGCAGCAAUGCCGCGUGAGUGAUGAAAGCCUUAGGGUUGUAAAGCUCUUUUACCCGGGAUGAUAAUGACAGUACCGGGAGAAUAAGCUCCGGCUAACUCCGUG
rnacentral:rRNA from 1 species